rnacentral:rRNA from 1 species
GAUGAACGCUGGCGGCGUGCCUAAUACAUGCAAGUCGAGCGAACAGACGAGGAGCUUGCUCCUCUGACGUUAGCGGCGGACGGGUGAGUAACACGUGGAUAACCUACCUAUAAGACUGGGAUAACUUCGGGAAACCGGAGCUAAUACCGGAUAAUAUAUUGAACCGCAUGGUUCAAUAGUGAAAGACGGUUUUGCUGUCACUUAUAGAUGGAUCCGCGCCGCAUUAGCUAGUUGGUAAGGUAACGGCUUACCAAGGCGACGAUGCGUAGCCGACCUGAGAGGGUGAACGGCCACACUGGAACUGAGACACGGUCCAGACCCCUACGGGAGGCAGCAGUAGGGAAUCUUCCGCAAUGGGCGAAAGCCUGACGGAGCAACGCCGCGUGAGUGAUGAAGGUCUUCGGAUCGUAAAACUCUGUUAUUAGGGAAGAACAAAUGUGUAAGUAACUAUGCACGUCUUGACGGUACCUAAUCAGAAAGCCACGGCUAACUACGUG